UUGACCUCAAAUCAGGUAGGACUACCCGCUGAAAAU
rnacentral:rRNA from 1 species